GGAGGGUGCAAGCGUUAUCCGGAUUUACUGGGUUUAAAGGGUGCGUAGGUGGGUUUGUAAGUCAGUGGUGAAAUCUCCGGGCUUAACUCGGAAACUGCCAUUGAUACUAUAGAUCUUGAAUUAUAUGGAGGUAAGCGGAAUAUGUCAUGUAGCGGUGAAAUGCUUAGAUAUGACAUAGAACACCAAUUGCGAAGGCAGCUUACUACGUAUAUAUUGACACUGAGGCACGAAAGCGUGGGGAUCAAACAGGAUUAGAUACCCUGGUAGUCCACGCCCUAAACGAUGGAUACUCGACAUCAGCGAUACACUGUUGGUGUCUGAGCGAAAGCAUUAAGUAUCCCACCUGGGAAGUACGAUCGCAAGAUUG
rnacentral:rRNA from 1 species